rnacentral:rRNA from 1 species
UCGAGAAUUUUUCACAAUGGGCGAAAGCCUGAUGGAGCGACGCCGCGUGGGGGAUGAAUGGCUUCGGCCCGUAAACCCCUGUCAUUUGCGAACAAACCCUGCGAUUUAAAAGAUGGCGGGCUGAUUGUAGCGAAAGAGGAAGGGACGGCUAACUCUGUGCCAGCAGCCGCGGUAAUACAGAGGUCCCAAGCGUUGUUCGGAUUCACUGGGCGUAAAGGGCGCGUAGGUGGCCGGGUAAGUUCGAUGUGAAAGCUCUGAGCUUAACUCAGAAAUGGCAUUGAAUACUAUCCGGCUCGAGGGUCGGAGGGGGGACUGGAAUUCUCGGUGUAGCAGUGAAAUGCGUAGAUAUCGAGAGGAACACCAGUGGCGAAGGCGGGUCCCUGGACGACUCCUGACACUGAGGCGCGAAAGCCGGGGGAGCAAACAGG